UUGGGGCCAUAUCAUGUCAAAACAGUGGUUCCUGUAUGAUCACUGUAGUUAAGCAAUGUUGAGUCUGGUAAGUAGCUAGAUGAGUGACUGCUUGGGAAUACCAGGUGCUGUAA